CCGAGAUUCCCCCAGUAGCGGCGAGCGAACGGGGAGGAGCCCAGAGCCUGAAUCAGUGUGUGUGUUAGUGGAAGCGUCUGGAAAGGCGCGCGAUACAGGGUGACAGCCCCGUACACAAAAAUGCACAUAUUGUGAGCUCGAUGAGUAGGGCGGGACACGUGGUAUCCUGUCUGAAUAUGGGGGGACCAUCCUCCAAGGCUAAAUACUCCUGACUGA
rnacentral:rRNA from 1 species